rnacentral:rRNA from 1 species
UACGUAGGGGGCAAGCGUUGUCCGGAAUCAUUGGGCGUAAAGAGCGUGUAGGCGGCCAGAUAAGUCCGCUGUGAAAUCUCGAGGCUCAACUUCGAGCUGUCGGUGGAAACUGUCGGGCUCGAGUCCGGAAGAGGCGAGUGGAAUUCCUGGUGUAGCGGUGAAAUGCGCAGAUAUCAGGAGGAACACCAAUGGCGAAGGCAGCUCGCUGGGACGGUACUGACGCUGAGACGCGAAAGCGUGGGGAGCGAACAGG